rnacentral:rRNA from 1 species
CCAGAGAACUUAGCAGAGAUGCUUUGGUGCCUUCGGGAACUCUGAGACAGGUGCUGCAUGGCUGCCGUCAGCUCGUGUUGUGAAAUGUUGGGUUAAGUCCCGCAACGAGCGCAACCCUUAUCCUUUGUUGCCAGCGGCUCGGCCGGGAAACUCAAAGGAGACUGCCGGUGAUAAACCGGAGGAAGGUGGGGAUGACGUCAAGUCAUCAUGGCCCUUACGGCCAGGGCUACACACGUGCUACAAUGGCGCAUACAAAGAGAAGCGACCUCGCGAGAGCAAGCGGACCUCAUAAAGUGCGUCGUAGUCCGGAUUGGAGUCUGCAACUCGACUCCAUGAAGUCGGAAUCGCUAGUAAUCGUAGAUCAGAAUGCUACGGUGAAUACGUUCCCGGGCCUUGUACACACCGCCCGUCACACCAUGGGAGUGGGUUGCAAAAGAAGUAGGUAGCUUAACCUUCGGGAGGGCGCUUACCACUUUGUGAUUCAUGACUGGGGUGAAGUCGUAACAAGGUAGGCGUAGCGAG